GGCCAGACUCCUACGGGAGGCAGCAGUGGGGAAUAUUGCACAAUGGGGGGAACCCUGAUGCAGCGACGCCGCGUGGGUGAAGGAGCACCUCGGUGCGUAAAGCCCUAUCGGCAGGGAAGAAACAGACGGUACCUGACUAAGAAGCCCCGGCUAACUACGUGCCAGCAGCCGCGGUAAUACGUAGGGGGCAAGCGUUAUCCGGAUUUACUGGGUGUAAAGGGGGCGCAGACGGCGAUGCAAGCCAGGAGUGAAAGCCCGGGGCCCAACCCCGGGACUGCUCUUGGAACUGCGUGGCUGGAGUGCAGGAGGGGCAGGCGGAAUUCCUGGUGUAGCGGUGAAAUGCGUAGAUAUACGGAGGAACACCAGUGGCGAAGGCGGCCUGCUGGACAUUAACUGACGCUGAGGCGCGAAAGCGUGGGGAGCAAACAGGAUUAGAUACCCCAGUA
rnacentral:rRNA from 1 species